ACAUAGUGCGCAAUUACCUAAUCCCUGCACGGGGAGGUAAAGAUAAAGAGGUCUACAGAGGAAUCAUCCGAGGCCCCGUAAUCGGAAUGAGUAUACUCUAAAUCCUUAUACGAGUAUCAAUUGGAGGGCAAGUCUGGUGCCAGCAGCCGCGGUAAUUCCAGCUCCAAUAGCGUAUAUUAAAGUUGUUGCGGUUAAAAAGCUCGUAGUUGGAUCUGUGUCCCGCACCGUCGGUUCACCGCCUGUCGGUGUUCAACUGGCGUGCAUGCGGGACGUCCUGCCGGUGGCGGUCCGGGGCUACGUCGGUGCUUAGGGGGCGACCCUGCUUGCAGGCGCCGUUCCCGAAGCCGCGGCGCUUCCGGCCGCCUUUUCCAUCCCGUCGCGGUGCUCUUUACCGAGUGUCGAGGCGGGCCGGCACGUUUACUUUGAACAAAUUAGAGUGCUUUAAGCAGGCCCUGUCCCGCCUGUAUGUUGUGUGCAUGGAAUAAUGGAAUAGGACCUCGGUUCUAUUUUGUUGGUUUUCGGAAUCUGAGGUAAUGAUCAAUGGGGACAGGCGGGGGCAUUCGUAUUGCGACGUUAGAGGUGAAAUUCUUGGAUCGUCGCAAGACGGACCGAAGCGAAAGCAUUUGCCAAGUAUGUUCUCGUCGAUCAAGAACGAAAGUUAGAGGUUCGAAGGCGAUCAGAUACCGCCCUAGUUCUAACCAUAAACUAUGCCUGCCAGCGAUCCGCCGAAGUUCCUCCGAUGACUCGGCGGGCAGCUUCCGGGAAACCAGAGCUUUUGGGUUCCGGGGGAAGUAUGGUUGCAAAGCUGAAACUUAAAGGAAUUGACGGAAGGGCACCACCAGGAGUGGAGCCUGCGGCUUAAUUUGACUCAACACGGGAAAACUCACCAGGCCCGGACACCGGAAGGAUUGACAGAUUGAGAGCUCUUUCUUGAUUCGGUGGGUGGUGGUGCAUGGCCGUUCUUAGUUGGUGGAGCGAUUUGUCUGGUUAAUUCCGAUAACGAACGAGACUCUAGCCUACUAAAUAGGCGUACCCGGUAUCCACAAUCGUGCUACCGGCGAUCAAAUUUCUUCUUAGAGGGACAGGCGGCUUCUAGCCGCACGAGACUGAGCAAUAACAGGUCUGUGAUGCCCUUAGAUGUCCUGGGCCGCACGCGCGCUACACUGAAGGAAUCAGCGUGUCUUCCCUGUCCGAAAGGACCGGGUAACCCGCUGAACCUCCUUUGUGCUAGGGAUUGGGGCUUGCAAUUGUUCCCCAUGAACGAGGAAUUCCCAGUAAGCGUGGAGAAAAGCUUACCACGUUCACAUCCCUGCCCAAAUAUCACACAGUACUCUAUAACGCUUGU
rnacentral:rRNA from 1 species